rnacentral:rRNA from 1 species
GGACGAACGCUGGCGGCGUGCUUAACACAUGCAAGUCGAACGGUGAAGCCUAGCUUGCUAGGUGGAUUAGUGGCGAACGGGUGAGUAAUACGUGAGUGACCUACCUUUGACUCUGGGAUAAGCCUGGGAAACUGGGUCUAAUACCGGAUACGACCAAUCUCCGCAUGGGGUGUUGGUGGAAAGCGUUAUGGAGUGGUUUUAGAUGGGCUCACGGCCUAUCAGCUUGUUGGUGAGGUAAUGGCUUACCAAGGCGACGACGGGUAGCCGGCCUGAGAGGGUGACCGGCCACACUGGGACUGAGACACGGCCCAGACUCCUACGGGAGGCAGCAGUGGGGAAUAUUGCACAAUGGGCGCAAGCCUGAUGCAGCGACGCCGCGUGAGGGAUGACGGCCUUCGGGUUGUAAACCUCUGUUAGCAUCGAAGAAGCGAAAGUGACGGUAGGUGCAGAGAAAGCGCCGGCUAACUACGUA